CACAUCGGAACGCGUCCUGUAAUGGGGGAUAACCUGGCGAAAGCCAGGCUAAUACCGCAUACGUCCUGAGGGAGAAAGCGGGGGAUUGGCAACGACCUCGCGUUAUAGGAGUGGCCGAUGUCGGAUUAGCUAGUUGGUGGGGUAAAGGCCUACCAAGGCGACGAUCCGUAGCGGGUCUGAGAGGACGGCCCGCCACACUGGGACUGAGACACGGCCCAGACUCCUACGGGAGGCAGCAGUGGGGAAUUUUGGACAAUGGGGGCAACCCUGAUCCAGCCAUGCCGCGUGAGUGAAGAAGGCCUUCGGGUUGUAAAGCUCUUUCGGCCGGGAAGAAAUCGUGCGGGCUAAUACCCUGUAUGGAUGACGGUACCGGAAGAAGAAGCACCGGCUAACUACGUG
rnacentral:rRNA from 1 species